rnacentral:rRNA from 1 species
GACGAACGCUGGCGGCGUGCUUAACACAUGCAAGUCGAGCGGUAAGGCUCCUUCGGGGGUACACGAGCGGCGAACGGGUGAGUAACACGUGAGUAAUCUGCCCUUGGCUCUGGGAUAAGCACUCGAAAGGGUGUCUAAUACCGGAUAUGACAGCUCCUCGCAUGGGGUGGUUGUGGAAAGUUUUUUCGGCCAGGGAUGUGCUCGCGGCCUAUCAGCUUGUUGGUGGGGUAAUGGCCUACCAAGGCUUUGACGGGUAGCCGGCCUGAGAGGGUGACCGGUCACACUGGGACUGAGACACGGCCCAGACCCCUACGGGAGGCAGCAGUGGGGAAUAUUGGACAAUGGGCGGAAGCCUGAUCCAGCAACGCCGCGUGAGGGAUGACGGCCUUCGGGUUGUAAACCUCUUUCAGUACCGACGAAGCGUGAGUGACGGUAGGUACAGAAGAAGCACCGGCCAACUACGUGCCAGCCGCCGCGGUAAAAC